ACCCUCCGGAUUCCUUACCCCUCCGAUUAAACACUGGUCUGAGUGACUAUAAAAGGAGGAAAAGUGAAAUCUGAAGUGGACUUGGAUUCUUCAACGACAUGUAAGUGCAUCUCAAACAAAC
rnacentral:snoRNA from 1 species